rnacentral:antisense_RNA from 1 species
GGACGCGAGCCUGCUUCCAUCUGACGCUGGACGCUUGUCCCUGCCCCGCGUUGCCUUUUAAAUUUUAGCUCAUUCCGUGACACCUGCCGUCAGACAUUUAUGCAGUGUGUGAUUCUUUCUAAAACAACUCCCUGGAAGAGAGGACAUUUAAUUCAACAAUUUAUUGGCCACCUACUGUGCGCCAGGCAAUGAACUUGGAACUGGGGCUACUGGGUUACAGCAGUGACCAAGACAGAGGUCCCUGUUCUUAAGGAGCAAGUGAGGGCAACAGAAAAGAGCAGUCAGCUGUCAUGCGAGGGCACUCAAUCAGCCCUGUGGAAAGCUCUAUGUGGUGAGAAACUGAAGCCUCCUGCCAACACCAACAAGGAACUGAGACCUACUGCCAAUAGCCAUCUGAGUGAUCCAUCCUGGAAUGAGAUCCUCCAGCCCCAGUCAAGUCUUCAGAUGACUGCAGCCCUGGCCAGCAUCUCAACUGCAACCUCAUGAAUGACCCUGAGCCAGAACCAUGCAACUAAACUCUGCCUGGAUUCAUGACCCACAGAAACUGUGAGAUGGUAGCUGUUUGCUUUGUUAAGCCUCUAAGUCUGGAAAUAAUGUAUUAAGCAGUAGUAGACAAUGAACACAAGAUUAUUAUUCAGCUGUUGAAUUGGAAGGGGAGGGGAAGAAAAAGUUUUCAGAUCACAAAAUAUUCAUUGUGUAAAACUUCAAAAAUUCUGAAAUUUAAGGAAAAAAAAUCAUUUGUUGGG